rnacentral:rRNA from 1 species
GGGCUUCUGACGGAUGCCUUGGCAUUGAGAGGCGAUGAAGGACGUGGCACGCUGCGAUAAGAGCCGGGGAGGCGCGAGCACCCUUUGAUCCGGCUAUCUCCGAAUGGGGAAACCCACCUUAAUGACCAUUCCACUUUGCUUCAGCUUCGGCUGGAGCGGUAGUGGUGUGGUUGUGACAGGUAUAAUGACCUGAAUACAUAGGGUUCAUUAAGCAAACCCGGGGAACUGAAACAUCUCAGUACCCGGAGGAAAGGACAUCAACCGAGACUCCCGUAGUAGUGGCGAGCGAACCGGGACCAGGCCAGUGCUGUCGUGACAUAAAGCUGAACGACUUGGAAAGGUCGGCCAUAGUGGGUGAUAGCCCCGUAAGCGUCAAAUAGCGACAGACUCGAGUAGGGCGGGACACGUGAAAUCCUGUCUGAACAUGGGGGGACCACCCUCCAAGCCUAAGUACUCCUCAAUGACCGAUAGCGAACAAGUACCGUGAGGGAAAGGUGAAAAGCACCCCGACAAGGGGAGUGAAACAGAUCCUGAAAUCGGAAGCCUACAAGCAGUCGGAGCCCCCGCGCGUGGUGACGGCGUACCUUUUGUAUAAUGGGUCAGCGACUUCAUGUGCCGUGCAAGCUUAAGCCGUUAGGUGUAGGCGCAGCGAAAGCGAGUCUGAAUAGGGCGAAUAAGUACGUCGCAUGACGACCCGAAACCAGGUGAUCUAUCCAUGAGCAGGUUGAAGGUAAGGUAACACUUACUGGAGGACCGAACCGGUGAAUGUUGAAAAAUUCUCGGAUGACUUGUGGAUAGGGGUGAAAGGCCAAUCAAACCUGGACAUAGCUGGUUCUCCGCGAAAUCUAUUUAGGUAGAGCGUCGAUCGAAUACCCCCGGGGGUAGAGCACUGGAUGGGCUAUGGGGACUCACCGUCUUACUGAUCCUAACCAAACUCCGAAUACCGGGGAGUACUAAUCGGCAGACACACGGCGGGUGCUAACGUCCGUCGUGAAAAGGGCAACAACCCUAACCUCCAGCUAAGGUCCCCAAGUCAUGGCUAAGUGGGAAAGGAUGUGAGGAUCCCAAAACAACCAGGAUGUUGGCUUAGAAGCAGCCAUCAUUUAAAGAAAGCGUAACAGCUCACUGGUCUAGUCAAGGGUCUUUGCGCCGAAAAUGUAACGGGGCUCAAGCCAGACGCCGAAGGUAUGGGUUUGCUCUAUGAGCAAGCGGUAGCGGAGCGUUCCGUAAGCCGGUGAAGGUGAGGCGCGAGCCUUGCUGGAGGUAUCGGAAGUGAGAAUGCUGACAUGAGUAGCGAUAAAGAGUGUGAGAGACACUCUCGCCGAAAGCCCAAGGGUUCCUGCGUAAAGCUAAUCUGCGCAGGGUUAGCCGGCCCCUAAGGCGAGGCCGAAAGGCGUAGUCGAUGGGAAUCAGGUGAAUAUUCCUGAGCCAGUUGGAAGUGACGAAUCCCGUAAAUUGUCAGGGCUUAUUGGAUUGUCCUGGCAGUGAACAGGUCCCUGGAAAUAACUCCAACGGAGACCGUACCCGAAACCGACACAGGUGGACAGGUAGAGUAUACCAAGGCGCUUGAGAGAACUAUGCUGAAGGAACUCGGCAAAUUGCACGCGUAACUUCGGAAGAAGCGUGACCCCAUUUUACGCAAGUAUGAUGGGGUGGCACAGACCAGGGGGUAGCGACUGUUUAUCAAAAACACAGGGCUCUGCGAAGCCGCAAGGCGACGUAUAGGGUCUGACGCCUGCCCGGUGCCGGAAGGUUAAAAGGAGGGGUGCAAGCUCCGAAUUGAAGCCCCGGUAAACGGCGGCCGUAACAAUAACGGUCCUAAGGUAGCGAAAUUCCUUGUCGGGUAAGUUCCGACCUGCACGAAUGGCGUAACGACUUCCCCACUGUCUCCAGCAUAGGCUCAGCGAAAUUGAAUUCCCCGUGAAGAUGCGGGGUUCCCGCGGUCAGACGGAAAGACCCUAUGAACCUUUACUGCAGCUUCGCCUUGGCGUUAGCAGCAACAUGUGUAGGAUAGGUGGGAGGCUAUGAAGAUCGGACGCCAGUUCGAUUGGAGCCAUCCUUGAAAUACCACCCUGGUAAUGUUGAGGUUCUAACUCUGUCCCGUAAUCCGGGACGAGGACCAUGUCUGGUGGGUAGUUUGACUGGGGCGGUCUCCUCCUAAAGAGUAACGGAGGAGUACGAAGGUGCGCUCAGCGUGGUCGGAAAUCACGCGUAGAGUAUAAAGGCAAAAGCGCGCUUAACUGCGAGACCCACAAGUCGAGCAGGUACGAAAGUAGGUCUUAGUGAUCCGGUGGUUCUGUAUGGAAGGGCCAUCGCUCAACGGAUAAAAGGUACUCUGGGGAUAACAGGCUGAUCGCGCCUGAGAGUUCAUAUCGGCGGCGCGGUUUGGCACCUCGAUGUCGGCCCAUCGCAUCCUGGGGCUGGAGCAGGUCCCAAGGGUUCGGCUGUUCGCCGAUUAAAGCGGUACGCGAGCUGGGUUUAAAACGUCGUGAGACAGUUUGGUCCCUAUCUGCCGUGGGCGCAGGAUACUUGAGAGGAGCUGCCCAUAGUACGAGAGGACCUGGGUGGACGUACCUCUGGUGCGCCGGUUGUCCUGCCAAGGGCAUAGCCGGGUAGCCAUGUACGGAACGGAUAACCGCUGAAAGCAUCUAAGCGGGAAGCCGGCCUCAAGACUAGGUAUCCCGGACGCAAGUCCCUAAAGACCCCUCGAAGACUACGAGGUUGAUAGGCCAGGUGUGGACGCCGAGUAAUCGGUGGAGCUGACUGGUACUAAUCGGUCGUGAGGCU